GGUAGGUAAGUGAUGACGCAGUUUUACAGAGAAGCGGGCUAACUUGUUAGGAGAAGGAUGAAAAUCCACACCCUGAGCUUCUUCUUGAGCUUCCAGUUUCCAGUGGCUCCCUAAUGUAGACUGAAUAUAUCCAGACCAUAAAUAAUGUAGUUUCAAGUCAUUUCUACAAAUACAAGAUCAAACACCAAUACAAAACCAAAUAAUAAUCAGAAACAGCAAACAAACCCAGAACCAAGCAAAAUUACAAUAGAAAUAACAAAGAAUAAAUUUGGUGAUUGCCCUAUUUGCUGGGAUGAGUUAGGCAAAAAUCCUUUGGCUUCAACUGUGUGUGGCCACGUAUUCUGCUUUAAAUGUCUUAAGCAGGCAUUGUUAAGACUCAAACAAUGUCCCACUUGUAGACGUGCACUUAGGGAUGAAAGAUCCUUCCAUCCUUUAUAUAUACCAACAGUUUAAACUUUUUUGAAUACUUAUGAGAUUGAAUUUGUUAUUUUUCUUAUCUAGUUGCUUAUUACUAUCAAAAAGACUGAUGUAUUUUUGUAAAUUUAUAGAUAUGUAUUUUGAUAAAUGUUUCCAAAUACAAUUUAACCGUUAAUUCUUUAUAAAGUGUGUUAAACAAGACUAAGUCAUAGUAUAAUCAAGUCACAUAAUUCAUAAUCAUAAUAGUUUAAUGUUCCAAAAACAAGUCGCAGGCGUCUUCUAGUAUGUAUAUAUUUUUUAAAUGGAUUUUAAAGCUUAAACUUUUUGUAUUGCAUAAAUUUGAUUUUAUGAUUUAGUGUUGUCUCCCAAUUUAAUGUGAUAAUAUAGUAGUGUUAGUAUUUAGGUCAUCUUCAUCAUAAUCUUAUCAGCCGGGGGAGGUAGCAGAUGGGUACAAAGCAUGUGUCUGAUGGCUUAAGAACAAUGAUUUUUCAUAUUGAUUGAUUGUCUGUGAAUCCUUGAAACUUGCCACCUCAUACUUAUAAAGCCAUCCAAAUGUUAUAAUUGCUUACUGUAAUUGCCUAUGGUAGGAUUAUGGACAAGAUUACAACUUUUAUAAAAUUGAUCCUGAGCUUACUGGUGGCAUUUACAAUAAGAUAAUAUUGAUAUUUUUUCAAUAAUAUUGCUAUACUUAAACUUAUUUUAUGUGACUUGCAUAGACAUCUUGCAUAGAUUAUGACAUCCUGCUCAAUGUUAUGAUUUACACCAUAGGUUAACUACUAUUUGACACAGCACCCCCUUUGCGAAUGUUUCUCCAUUUCUUGGACAUUAAAGUUGGCUGUUGUGGGUAGUCCUAUUUCAUAAGCUCUUAAAUAAAUCAGAAUAAAAUAAUUCAAAUGUUUAUAUGAUCCAAUUUAAAUAAUAAUUAUUAUACUUAA
rnacentral:misc_RNA from 1 species